rnacentral:rRNA from 1 species
UACGUAGGGGGCAAGCGUUGUCCGGAAUCAUUGGGCGUAAAGCGCGCGUAGGCGGCCCCGUAAGUCCGUUGUGAAAGUCAAAGGCUCAACCUUUGAAAGCCGAUGGAUACUGUGGGGCUAGAGUCCGGAAGAGGCGAGUGGAAUUCCUGGUGUAGCGGUGGAAUGCGCAGAUAUCAGGAGGAACACCAAUAGCGAAGGCAGCUCGCUGGGACGGUACUGACGCUAAGGCGCGAAAGCGUGGGGAGCGAACAGG